UACGGAGGGGGCUAGCGUUGUUCGGAAUUACUGGGCGUAAAGCGCACGUAGGCGGAUUGGCAAGUUGGGGGUGAAAUCCCAGGGCUCAACCCUGGAACUGCCUCCAAAACUUCCAGUCUUGAGGUCGAGAGAGGUGAGUGGAAUUCCGAGUGUAGAGGUGAAAUUCGUAGAUAUUCGGAGGAACACCAGUGGCGAAGGCGGCUCACUGGCUCGAUACUGACGCUGAGGUGCGAAAGCGUGGGGAGCAAACAGG
rnacentral:rRNA from 1 species